AAAACAACUAAAACAGUCCUAGGAUUGUCUCUACACCUUACCCUCAUUAAACAUGCGGAGAUCUAUGAAUGCGCAUGAAUAUGCAAAUUAGAAGACGCCCCCUUUGGGGUCUCGCCAUCCCGAACGGUUUUAUAAAUUUUAGUCUCGACUUGCUUCGUCGUACGUACACUUGGGGAUUUAUUCAAGACCAGGUCCAAUCUUCCAAAUUGUUCAUGGUUACCAUAGCAACCAUGAUUUUCUUGAUCACUAGUGAACAUUAUCUUAGUUAGACAGGUUACUGCACAGUUUCCAGUUUUAAGGUUUAAUCACCACGUCAAUCCACUAAUACUUUGCAUAACAGCUGUGAUAAGUUCUUUUAAGCUGUUCAGGCUAUUCGAAUCAUUUUGUGACAUCACAAAACGAGCUCAUGUGUAACCCCGCCCCCGAGUCAGUUGUAUACAGACGCAUUGAGGAAGUGUUUUAGAUCAAUCAAAGUGACUCAAGCCAAUCGAUAUACAGUAAUAACUACUUAAUAUACCAGUACGUCUAUAAUCUCUAUAUAAAUCUACGUAAUCAGCUAUACGAGAAGACUUAAGGUUUGUAUACUAUACAGUAAUAUGCGGGUUAAUUUGAAAGCUAUAAUGAAAUGAAAGCUUGUCUGCAAUAACAGAAUGAACUUCACAGAAUUCUCAGAACACCUUGUUUGCUUGUGCUAUGAAUGAAAAAUGGGAUCAGGCACCAUUUCUAAGGUCCUGAUGUGUCUUGUAUCACCACUGCACAAAAUGUUCUCAUCCCAAUUUGGACCUGGUGAAUCUCUGGAAUGGAUGUAGUGCCUUCUCUGCUCGCUCGCUUUCUCUCUCUCUCUCUCUCUCUCUCUCGCACACACACACACAAUUUACAUAUAUUUUUACAUUUAUGGCAUUUGGCAGAUGCACUUAUCCAGCGCGACUUACAUUUAUCUAAUUUAUACAACUGAGCAAUUGAGGGUUAAGGGCCUUACCCAAGGGCCCAAGAGUGGUAGCUUGGCAGUGCUGGGGCUUGAACUCCUG
ensembl:lncRNA